UGUCUUCAUCUAUCUGCUUCUUAAAAGCAGCUCUUUGCUCAGUAGUAGGAUAGUUUGGUAGCACUAUGAGAUCUUGGUAAAAAAUAUGGCUUAAUUUUUCUGAGGUCAGGACAAUCUUGAGAUUUCUGAGCUAGUCUUUGAAAUUAUUAUCGAUCAAAUGAUUGGUUUCAAAGAUGCGGGCUAAAGGGUUUGAGGCUGACAUCAUUUAACUGCGAGAAUAGAGAUUCAAGUUAGACUUUUAUACUUA
rnacentral:lncRNA from 1 species